ACUCAAAUGAAUAGACGGGGGCCCGCACAAGCGGUGGAGCAUGUGGUUUAAUUCGAUGCAACGCGAAGAACCUUACCUACUCUUGACAUCCUUGGAAUCUUCUAGAAAUAGAAGAGUGCCUUCGGGAGCCAAGUGACAGGUGCUGCAUGGCUGUCGUCAGCUCGUGUCGUGAGAUGUUGGGUUAAGUCCCGUAACGAGCGCAACCCUCGCCCUUAGUUGCCAGCGGUUCGGCCGGGAACUCUAAGGGGACUGCCGGUGAUAAACCGGAGGAAGGUGGGGAUGAUGUCAAGUCAUCAUGGCCCUUACGAGUAGGGCUACACACGUGCUACAAUGGCCAGUACAAUGGGUUGCCAAACCGUGAGGUGGAGCUAAUCUCAUAAAGCUGGUCGUAGUCCAGAUUGGAGUCUGCAACUCGACUCCAUGAAGUUGGAAUCGCUAGUAAUCGCGAAUCAGAAUGUCGCGGUGAAUACGUUCUCGGGCCUUGCACACACCGCCCGU
rnacentral:rRNA from 1 species